GACGAACGCUGGCGGCGUGUCUAAUACAUGCAAGUCGAGCGGACAGAUGGGAGCUUGCUCCCUGAUGUUAGCGGCGGACGGGUGAGUAAUACGUGGGUAACCUGCCUGUAAGACUGGGAUAACUCCGGGAAACCGGGGCUAAUACCGGAUGCUUAUUUGAACCGCAUGGUUCAAACAUAAAAGGUGGCUUCGGCUACCACUUACAGGUGGACCCGCGGCGCAUUAGCUAGUUGGUGAGGUAACGGCUCACCAAGGCAACGAUGCGUAGCUGACCUGAGAGGGUGAUCGGCCACACUGGGACUGAGACACGGCCCAGACUCCUACGGGAGGCAGCAGUAGGGAAUCUCCCGCAAUGGACGAAAGUCUGACGGAGUAACGCCGCGUGGGUGAUGAAGGUUUUCGGAUCGUAAAGCUCUGUUGUUAGGGAAGAACAAGUACCGUUCAAAUAAGGCGGUACCUUGACGGUACCUAACCAGAAAGCCACGGCUAACUACGUGCCAGCAGCCGCGGUAAUACGUAAGUGGCAAGCGUUGUCCGGAAUUAUUGGGCGUAAAGGGCUCGCGGGCGGUUUCUUAAGUCUGAUGUGAAAGCCCCCGGCUCAACCCGGGGAGGGUCAUUGGAAACUGAGGAACUUGAGUGCAGAAGAGGAGAGUGGAAUUCCACGUGUAGCGGUGAAAUGCGUAGAGAUGUGGAGGGACACCAGUGGCGAAGGCGACUCUCUGGUCUGUAACUGACGCUGAGGAGCGAAAGCGUAGGGAGCGAACAGGAUUAGAUACCCUGGGAGUCCACG
rnacentral:rRNA from 1 species